UAUGGUGCAUUAACAGAUUUUUUAAUCCAUGUAUUGACAAUAUUAGCCCAAGUAGCUGAUUGUGCACAUGUUCUUGUUGAUGAGGUGCCAAGAUUUGAUAGGUGCCUCUAACUUUAUUAAAAAUGGAUCCAAAGCUAUCCAUAUUUAGCAAUACUUUUGUAUUACUUAAAAUAUCUUAAUGUGCAAAUCCAACUUCAAGUCCAAGCCAUAAUAUAUUAUAAAGGUGCCAAAGAAGAUGGGAAUUAUGCACAUACAAGUGCACCUUUGCUGGCAUGUGAAAUAGGUUUAUCUUGUAGGGACAAUUUAUGACUCAGAUGUAAAGAUACUUACGAGCAUGUUUCACACAUCCAAGAUGUACAAAUAAACAGAUGUGAUACUUGAUCAACAAUAUGGACACAGUAGUCGAAGUAGAAGUUUAAUUCCUAAAGUUGAUCCACAAGAGCAAGGAUUGGCAGGCAACUACCAAGUUCAAAUUUUUGGAUGCAUAUUUUCUUGUAGUCAAUGGUCUUUGCUAUUACUUAUGUGCUUGAAUUGGCUUGCCUUAGAGUGAACAACAUGUCCUUUGGAGCAAUGCCAACAGCAGCCAUUUAUUGCAUUACUUCACAUUAAUUAAACUAAAGACAAAAUACACUAGAAUGUCUAGCCAAGUUGAUAGAAGUCUUGUGGUUGUGCUCAUGCUUGAUUAUUAUAAUGUAUUAAAGUCUAUUUGACUUGUGAAAGCAUCUAUUGAGUUGAAAUGAGCAACCAAUCUUCUGUGUGGAUCCUCUACAAAUUCACUUUGUAUUUGUUUGAGCUUUUGUUGGGUUGUACUUGCUUCUUCAAUCACACUUCAAAACAAUCUUCUGCUAAGAAGGAUCAAAACAUAGCAUUGUAAGCGCACAGCCUUAGGUGUGAGCAAAUGCCUUCACAAAGUGCAACAUGUCUUCUUGUGAGUUGUAGGAAAUUUUAGGUUGAGAUGACAUCCUUACCAUUUGAAUAUAAUAUAAUUUGGUGGUUGAUAGUAUUUGGGAGUUGAAGGUAUUUAGGGAUGUACUUAUCAUCAUCACAAGUGCUUCCAAGACAGCCAAACAGUCAUGUGGAAGAAAGGGAGGGAAUUCCAUUUAUGAGGUGUAGUUGUAUUGAGCAUUGCAAGCCAAAAGUCACAGAAGGGGUGGAAAUAGUGAUGGAAGGGGGUGUAUUUAACAUUCUCCUUUUUUAUAUUUCUUGAGUGUAUAUAUAUAUAUAUAUACGCACACACACACAAACACAUGUGCAUAUUUGUCAUGCUUUCACAUUACUCUAUAUAAAUCCAUAAUUGACAAAUUUAUUUCAACAUUAAUUUUCAUGCUUUCUUCUGCAACACAAACAACAAAGAAAGAAAGAAACCAACAAUAAAAUUAAACAAAUCGAACCAUCAAUACAACAAAUAAGUAUAUAUAUGUAUAUAUAUAUAUAUAUACACACACACACACAGUCAUGAUUCAUUACUAUUCAUACAUACAUUGAAAAUAUACAAAUUGUGGACUAGAUGACAUCCAGAAAAAAAAUCAGCUUGUAACAAAAGGAAUAUGAGGAGAAAGGGCAAUCAAAUAUUAGUUGCCAUAUCAAAAAUACUGCCAAUGUCAUCUCCAUGAGAAGAAAAUUUUACAGCUCUCUCAUCAUUCAGGUCUGCGAAUAGAUCACAUUAACGCGUUCGGGAUUACGCUAUUGUCCCCUAGCCACCCAUCACAGAACCCCAAAAUGAAAUCCUAGUAUUGGAGGGAGCGUGGGAGGCUGCAGUGAGAGGCUAUUGUGCAUCGAGUGCAGGCACCGAAUCAUGAAGAAGCGCGCAUAGUUCCGUCCGUCGCUUCAAUGAAGAGAAAGGUGAAGAAGAUGCUGCUGCUGCUACCACCACUAACUUAACUCUCCAGAUCUGGACGACACACAAGUAGAACUCCUCUCCAGCAGAACCAAGAGAGAUCCCAGCCAGAGAGAGACCAAUCCCAGUGAAUUGAGACCAGAACCAGGACCGGGAUCCCCUCCUUCCUUGUUUCCGCCCCCAGAAAUAUGGGGCAGGACUGACUGACUAACUGACUGACUGACUGACAUUCACUCACCCACUUACUCUCUCUCUCUCUCUCUCUCACUCACUCACGCAGGUCGCCCACUCCCUCCCUCCCUGCCCCCCAAUAAUGCACCACCGCGCCAACGGAGGAGCUAGAGGCCGAGCGAGGUUGGAGGGGGGAGCAAGCAACCCACCCCACCCCCCC
rnacentral:lncRNA from 1 species